AUGAUUUGUAAUUUCUCAUAAGUGGAAAGGACAAUAUAGUCUCUUUGGUGACAAAUUAUUUAAGCACCAAAACUCAUGAAGAAACUCAUUCUUCCUCAUUUUUCUUUCACUCCCAACCAACAUUUGAGAGAAAAGCUCAAGGAGAAAGAGAGAAAAUGAAGGCGAGUAUUGAAAAGGAAAGAGGGGGAAAAUUUCUUGAUCAUCUUGGGAAGCUCUUGCAUGUUAAUGUUUUGCUAACCAUUUGAGGAGUACCCAGUUAGAGGCAAUUAAUCAUCUCAUCACCAUCUUCUUCUUCUCCAUCUUGCUGGAUAGUUAGGUUCUAUUCAAGGUUUUUUUACUAUGAGGGGUCCUCUGGGUGUAACACGCUCGUAUUGAGAAACACAGGGCACCCGUGUUGACCUCAGUCAAUGGAAAACUUCUCUAUUCUUUCCAACAGAGUUGUAAUAGUCAUCAUGCCUUGUUCCAAUGGAUCAAAUUAGACUAUUAUAGCAUGUGUGUCCUAGUUAGGUUUGUAAUCUAUGAAUGAUGGGAGGGAAUUAAUCUAUGAAUGAUAAACUCAUUGCUUGAUUAUGGUUAUAUGUGUUCAUGAGUGUAUGGAAUCGUAUGAGUUCUAAAUGCAUGAUGAAAAUCUGAAUUAAUGGAUGUUGAACACGUUCUUGGUGCACAAAUAUGUAUGAUACACUUGCUAUCCAAAUAAACUUGUAUUCAAAUCAUAUGUGAACUAGAGCUAGUGUUGCAAGAAUGGUUGUGUUAGAACAAGUCUAGUUCUAUGAAAAAGGGGCAAAAAUCUCAAUAAUAACCUCCUUGAGGGCACUAGAUUGGUUGUGUUAGAACAAGUCUAGUUCUAUAACUAUCCUUGAGUUUUAAUGAUAACAAGGAGUAGAGAAUAAUUUUGUACUAUAACUAUUUUGCUAAGUGUGCAGAAAUCAGAGAAUAAAUUCUAACAAAUUCUAACUCUGAAGACAACCAGACUUUAAACCAAAUGAUAUAUUAAAAGUAUAUUUAUAAAGAAAUCAACUCUGAUGUGUCAAGUCAACGUUUCUGAACAGAAACCAUCCAGAUAGACUUUGAUAAAGGUUAUGACUUCUGACAUCUGAAAGUCUCAAAACUUUGUACUCAAAAGACUCUGAAAGUCUCGCCAAGUUCUGAAGAUAGAUUCUGAUAUCUACUUAAGCUUCACCAACUUGUAUAAGAAGCCUUUAACUGGAAGAUUCAAAUCUAAAAGUCAACGACUGAUUGAUGUGAUAGAAGUACAAAAGCAAAUCUAGUUUCUAUGUAAAGUAUUGUACUAUAUACAAAAGAAGUUUCUCACCUCC